UCCACAUCAGGGGUGGAGAUGGAGAGUGACCGCAUUGCAGCCGUGCGAAAUUGGCCGACUCCCACCACGGUAAAGGAGGUGCAGCGAUUUUUAGGGUUUGCCAAUUACUACUGGAGAUUUAUCUGGGCUUUUGGCCAGCGCUCGGGCUAGCCACCAAAGCUCAACCCCUGUGCUUUCUUCUCAAAGAAGCUCAGCCCGGCGGAGCGGAACUAUGAUGUGGGGGACCUGGAGCUGUUGGCUUUUGAAGGCAUGGAGACAUUGGCUUGAGGGGGCUAAACACCCUUCUGUCCCAUCUGGACCCUUCAGUCCCAUCUGGACUGACCACCGCAGCAACCUGAAGUACAUCCGGACAGCGAGGAGACUGAAUCCUCGUCAGGCAAGGUCAUCCGGGGAUCGGUGGGUGCGCUGUCUGACUGGGAAGUACAGGUGUCCCACCUUGGCCAAGUGACGUGAGGGUUUAUGUUUCCUCCUGCUCGGUGUGUGCGCCCAGUGUAAGGUUCCUAGACACCUGCCCAGAGGGUAACACCACGAUCCUGGUCAUUGUGGAUCAUUGUGGGACGGUUUCAGCGGUCCUAUUGCCAGGACCAGCCGGGGGAGUGGGCGGCGUUCGUACCCUGGGCAGAGAUGGCUCUGCCACUCCUCCACUAACCUUUCCCCCUUUCAGUGUGUAUUGGGGUACCAGCCGGUUCUGGUACCGUGGCAUCAGAGUCAGACUGAGGCUCCUGCUUGUUGCUUGUUUCAGACGCACGGAAGAAACAUGGGAGGUCGCCCAUGGUCACCUUCAGUGGGGCUCGCUACGUCAAAAGACCAAGCACGGACCGUCACCGCAGUGUAGCCCCGGUGUUCGCCUGCCCUGAGGAGAGUGAACGAGUUAUGUUACAGGUUACAGCUUCACACUGAUUACCAUAUUAACCCCUCGUUCCAUGUGUCUCUCCUCAGGCCGGUGGUGGUCGGUCCGCUCCAGGAGUCUGAGAUAAGGGAGGUACCUCUGGCGUACUUCGUCCGAUCCAUCUUGGAUUCGAGGCGUCGGGAAGGGGGUCUUCAGUAUCUUGUAGAGUGGGAGGGGCACGGUCCGGAGGAGAGAUGCUCGGCUCAUCCCCGAGGCCGGUGUCGGCACGCCGCUGGAGACUCACGUCAAGGGGGGGUACUGUCAUGGCUUCUGCCGAAGUCGGCACCUCUCCUUGUUCGGGCAGCGUUCGGCGGUCAACGUCACCGGCUUUCUAGCCAUCGCCACUCCAUUCUUCAAUUUUCCAUUGGUUUUGUCUUGUUCCAAUUCACACCUGGUUUGCAUUCCCUAAUCACAUUACAUUACAUUACAUGUCUUUGUGUGUAAUUAUUUUGUGUGUUACGUGUUGUACGCACUAAGCUAAGCAUUUGUUAUUUUCUGUGUGUUUUCACAAAGCUUAUUUGUAAUUGCUAUACAUUUAUGUUGUGUGACAUUUGUGCGUGCUUUACACUUUACCUUGUUGGCUGGAGGAGGUUUUUGAAGCGGCUGCGUCCAUCUGUAUAUCUCUCCUGCAUUAAUAAAGUUUGCUCCUGUUCACAAUUCUCUGUUCUCCUGCACCUGACUUCACCACAGUACGCACAUGCUUGACAGCUGUGUGAUUAAUUUCUGGGUCCAUACGUGAUCCAAAUUGGGUGUUCCGGUAUGUGAUAUCUCCACCCUCGCAAAUGGAAACUGUCAGCCAAAGCUAAUUUUAGCACAUGCGUGAAGCAGUCAAAGCACUGCCUUCGUACAAUCCUGGUACUUCCAAAUAAUCAGUGAGUGACGAAAAUUUUAACACCGGAACUACUACUCCUUGUUAUUUCCAUCCCGUCACGACAGAUUCUUCAGAUUAUGUGCAGAAUCUGUCAAUGAGAGAUUAAGAGCAGUCUAUAGACUGCUUACAAGAUAAGGAAACAAAUAUCUGAAUACAUUAUUUUCCAAUCCAAUUUACCUAUGGGAGAAAAUUUGCUGGUUUAGAA